rnacentral:tRNA from 1 species
GGUGGCACAGUGGUUAAGCAUUCGGCUGCUAACUGAAAGGUUGGUGGUUCAAAUCCACCAGCCACUG